CCUACGGGAGGCAGCAGUGAGGAAUAUUGGGCAAUGGGGGCAACCCUGACCCAGCCAUGCCGCGUGAGUGAAGAAGGUCUUCGGAUUGUAAAGCUCUUUCGGACGUGACGAUGAUGACGGUAGCGUCUAAAGAAGCACCGGCAAACUUCGUGCCAGCAGCCGCGGUAAUACGAAGGGUGCGAGCGUUGUUCGGAAUUACUGGGCGUAAAGGGAGUGUAGGCGGAUAUGUAAGAUAGCGGUGAAAUGCCGGGGCUCAACCCCGGAACUGCCAUUAUGACUAUGUAUCUAGAGUAAUGGAGAGGAUAGCGGAAUACCCAGUGUAGAGGUGAAAUUCGUAGAUAUUGGGUAGAACACCGGUGGCGAAGGCAGCGUACCGGCUCCACACUGACGCUGAGGCACGAAAGCGUGGGUAUCGAACAGGAUUAGAUACCCCAGUAGUC
rnacentral:rRNA from 1 species